CUUUAGAAAGAUUCGCAAAUUUUCCGGCGAAAUGGAACAGAUUCGCUCAUCACUAGUUAGGAGUAACUGUUGCACGUAAGCCUUUAAGACUGCAGUGUAUAGUGGCAUUUGUGACAAUUCUGUGCUUCCUACUUUGCGGCAACAGUUGGAAAAGUACCUUUCCCAUUUCAGCAAAAUAAUGUCCCUAUGCAUAAAGUGAGUUUUGUACAGAAGGGGUUUGCUAAGAUGGGAUCUUGACUUGAACAGAGCCCUGAGCUCAACCCUACUGUAACCUGUGGAAUCCAUUGGAACACACCAACCCUACUAAACACGUGGAAUGAACUGGAAUGCCAACUGUGAGACAGGCCUGAUCCCCAACAUCAAUAACGUUCUUGUGGCUCAAAUGGAAGCAAAUCCCACCAACAGUGUUCGAUUCCAACUUUCCUAGGAAAGUAGAGGCUCCUAUAGCAGCCAAAGAGGACUGGCUUCAUGUUCAUAUCCGUGGAUUCAGAAAGAGAUGAUACAACAAUAUUAAGAUGAGCUGUUCAGCAGGCAGACCAAAACCAGAUUGCCAAAAGCACAAGGGGAAACAACAAUAGUGUAUACAACAGCAGGUUGAUUCUGUGCACAUAACAUUAAGAGACUUGGAAUGUUCAGCUCCAUCAGCUUUUCUGCACUGGUGAGCCCAGAUUAUGUGGAAUAUUCAAUUAAUCACUUUACAUUGAUGCCUACCUUCACAAAGAGAAAUCUGCUACCCAAACUGACUUUAUCAAUCUGACACUAUGUGGUGUUUAGAUUUACAAUAGCAGUAACUUAUUGUUCCUGUGGAUAUUGUAUUAUAAACUGUAUAUUUAUGCACGCUAACUGCGUCCUGUGUCAUAAACAAUAUUAAAUCUCAGGUAGGCAAUUUAUCAAAAUUAGAACAUUCUUGAUUUUUCUCACUGAAUUUCACAUAUGAGAAAUGUUGCAUAUCUUGCAUUUUAUUUAGUUCUUGAGAAUUCAUAAUUUGUCUUUUGAUUUUCUCGAACAUGAGAGCUCAAACAACAUUUUUACUCUCAUCAUUAGUGUUAGAAAAAGAUUUAGUUUUAUAGUAAAGCAACGUGAGAAUCUUGACAAUUCUUGAGUUAAGUAAAUAAAGAGAUUUAAUCAUUUUCAUCAGAUUUUUAUUCAAACACAAAUGAUUUUCAAAUUGGUUUGAAUAAAUUCUUGUAGGUUUAGUCUACCCUUUUUUAAGGAAAAAAAGACAACAAUAAUAAUGUUUGAGAAAAAAGAAUUAGAAAAAACAUGGGAAAAGGAAUCUUUUUUACUCUAGAGAACCCUUAAAUUUGAUAAAAUCGUCAAUAUCAUUUGUUCAGUGCUACACAGGCAGCAAUCAUGUUGCACUGUCCGAUAAUGGCAUAUUGUUUUUAAUCAAAACAUUGACUCUGUAAAAGCAUAGUUAUCAUUCACACAGGAGUGCUCCUGUCACAGUGUGAAAUUGUAUUAUUAUUAUUAUUAUUACUACAGAGAUGUGUAAUGUCAGAAGGAAAAGACAUCCCAUACAAACUCAAACAGUGCUUUUUAAUUUACCAUUCUGCAGGGACAGUUUCACUAUUAAAUUAAUGAUAAAAGAAUAGGAAAGAAAACUAUUUCUCAGGCUAAUCUCAACUUAUAUAUACAGCUUGGAUAGAAGGCAGAGGGGUGAUUUGACUGAAACCUUUACAUUAUUCAAAGGGCUUAAAAUCCAGGAGGGAAGUACAUUUCAGAAGAAGAGGAAUAAUAGAGAAAGAGGUCAUGCCCUGAAGCUCUGCAGUUUGAAGCUGAAAAGUUAUGUUAAAACAAAUUAGUUACAUUUUACUGAAUACUUGGAACUCCUUCCAAAUGUAAUAGAGGCUGAAACAACAGACGCUGUUAAAUCGCUUUGGAUAAUUGUGUUCCAGGAAGCAAAUGGAACAUUCUUCAAGCAUAUUUUUAAACAGAUAAGUUAUUGGUUAGAUUAGAUGGCAUCUUGUGUUUUUUAUUUGUUGUUCUCUUUUUACUGACGUCAUACUGUGUUUAUAACUGUUGAUGUUAAAGGGAAUCUGUCACCCUAAGAAAUCAUUCCUAAUUCUUUUCUAUUGUGUUUGUCAAGCAAAAUUAACUUCACUUACACCAUGUAAGUAAUAUAAAUAUGGUCUCCUACAGUCUUGGAAUUACACAAUUACAAUAAGCAGGAAGGUGCCAUUUUGUUAGUA